CCGCAAGGCUCGUUUCAGAUGUUGCAUGAGCAUACCAAUGACAGUGGACUGAUUUCCUGAAGGGGAAAGAAACAUAAUAAUAAUAAUAGGACAUAAGAAUGGAGAGAGAAGAAAAAAAUGGAAAAGGAAAGGGAGGCUGGAGGAGGUGAUUACUGAUGUCUUUUCAGCAUUGUGUAUUUAUCAGGUUUAAUUUCCUUAUUAAAAUAGAGAAAGAAAAAAUAUGACGAGAAAGUGUUCAUUCCUUGUCUAGUUGCUUCUCCCUUUUCCUCGUCUUCUUUAUGUCUUCUGAUAUCUCUUAUUGAUCCUUUUUUUUUUCGGCUUAUAUUUAUCAUGCAAG
rnacentral:misc_RNA from 1 species